GAUGAACGCUGGCGGCGUGCCUAAUACAUGCAAGUCGAGCGAACGGACGAGGAGCUUGCUUCUCUGAUGUUAGCGGCGGACGGGUGAGUAACACGUGGAUAACCUACCUAUAAGACUGGGAUAACUUCGGGAAACCGGAGCUAAUACCGGAUGAUAUUUUGAACCGCAUGGUUCGAUGGUGAAAUACGGUGUUGCGGUCACUUAUAGAUGGAUCCGCGCUGCAUUAGGUAGUUGGUAAGGUAACGGCUUACCAAGGCAACGAUGCAUAGCCGACCGUAGAGGGGGAUCGGCCACACUGAAACUGACACACGGCACAGACUCCUAGGGAAGGCACCAGUAGGGAAUCGUCCGAAAAGGGCGAAAUCCUGCCGAAUCAACGCCACGUGAGUGAAGAAGCUCUUCGGAUGGUAAAACUCUCUUAUGAGGGAAAAACACAUUUGUAAGUAACGGUGCACAUCUUACCGUAACCUAAUAAGAAGCCCCCGGUAACCAACUG
rnacentral:rRNA from 1 species